rnacentral:lncRNA from 1 species
AUGGAAUUCUACACUUUCAUAAGAUUAAAAAUUGCAGAUGACCAAAGUACAAUGAAAAAAACACAUAAUGAACCACUGAAGUCCAAAAGCAAGACAAAAAUCAGGAUGACUGGUGAUGGCCCAGAAUGAAGUGGAUGACCUUGUCAUCUUUGAUGUCUGAGCAAGCUCUAAAUUCUCUACAG